rnacentral:rRNA from 1 species
AGCAGCCGCGGUAAUUCCAGCUCCAAUAGCGUAUAUUAAAGUUGUUGCAGUUAAAAAGCUCGUAGUUGAACUUCAGGCCUGGCUGGACGGUCCGCCCUCUGGGUGAGCACUGUCUGUGGUCGGGUCCUACCUUCUGGCGAAGCGGCAUGGCCUUAACCGGCCGUGGCGGGGAACCAGGACUUUUACUGUGAAAAAAUUAGAGUGUUCAAAGCAGGCACGCGCUUGAAUACAUUAGCAUGGAAUAAUGGAAUAGGACAAUGGUUCUAUUUGUUGGUUUCUAGGACCGUUGUAAUGAUUAAUAGGGAUAGUUGGGGGCAUUAGUAUUCAAUUGUCAGAGGUGAAAUUCUUGGAUUUAUUGAAGACUAACUACUGCGAAAGCAUUUGCCAAGGAUGUUUUCAUUAAUCAAGAACGAAAGUUAGGGAUCGAAGACGAUCAGAUACCGUCGUAGUCUUAACCAUAAACUAUAGCCGACUAGGGAUCGGAUGAUGUUAAUUUUUAAUGUAUUCAUUCGGCGUCCUU